rnacentral:rRNA from 1 species
UACGGGGGGGGCAAGCGUUGUUCGGAAUUACUGGGCGUAAAGGGCCAGUAGGCGGCCAACUAAGUCGGAUGUGAAAUCCCCAGGCUUAACCUGGGAACUGCAUCCGAUACUGGAUGGCUUGAAUCCGGGAGAGGGAUGCAGAAUUCCAGGUGUAGCGGUGAAAUGCGUAGAUAUCUGGAGGAAUACCGGUGGCGAAGGCGGCAUCCUGGACCGGCAUUGACGCUGAGGAGCGAAAGCUAGGGGAGCAAACAGG